UACGUAGGGGGCGAGCGUUGUCCGGAAUCAUUGGGCGUAAAGAGCGUGUAGGCGGCUUGGCAAGUCUGACGUGAAAGCCCGCGGCUCAACCGCGGAUUGUCGUUGGGAACUGCCUCGCUAGAGUCCGGAAGAGGAGAGCGGAAUUCCUGGUGUAGCGGUGGAAUGCGCAGAUAUCAGGAAGAACACCCGUGGCGAAGGCGGCUCUCUGGGACGGUACUGACGCUGAGACGCGAAAGCGUGGGGAGCGAACAGG
rnacentral:rRNA from 1 species